rnacentral:lncRNA from 1 species
ACUUCAGACUUCGGUGCUUCGGCCAUCUUGACAUGCAUCUUGGCCUUGGCCACCUUGCCGUGCGUGAUCGUUGUUUGUUUUUAUUUGUGCUUUUUAAGAAUAUUUUUUAAUUCGGAUACUUUUAUAAUAACUUUAAUAGUAUUAUUAACAUAGUGCAUAAAAUCAGUUGGAGUAGCAGAAGCAAUGUAGAUAAAAAAUCUGCAGGAAUAACGUUUCAAAGCUUUCCAGAAGAUCCUGCGAAGAAGGCAUGAAGUAUUGAUCAGAUUUGUUAAUAGAGCAGUAUGUUCAAAACAUUUUUUAGAAAAAGA